GGCCAGACAGAGAGCGGGGGAACGGGACUGACCCCAGGAGAAGGAGCGAGGCCAGAUUACGCUAACCCCGGCGCCAGAGGGAGAGUCCGAGCCCGGAAACCAGGGGCCGCAGGGACGCCAGGGGCAGGAGGCCGGUUGCAGGGGACGAAGCGGGGUGUGUGUGACAGGAGCCCUGCCGCCCAAAAGCGCAGAGCGCGGGCAAACUCCUCAGGGUGCACGCGAGCCCCAGCCGCCGGCAGCUGUAGCCGGCUCAUAACUCCACGCCGAGGUCCAUGGCGGGGGCUGUGUGUGGGGCGCCGCUGGCGGCCGCCGCCGCCUCCUGCUGCAGGUGCUCCUGCGCGGGCCUCGCCGCCGCCGCGCUCGGCUGCUGGAUACAACCCGCCUAACCCAUCGCCGCGCUGAGAGCCGGAGUCACAGGAGGGAGCUCCGCGUCCUCCUGCCGGUGUAUCAGCACAAAGUGCUCUCGCUCCCGUACACCUGCCCCCCGCCUGGCCCGGAGCGACGCUUCUUCCUGCCACGGGGUUACGGGGCUCCGCUUCCCGCGGGCGACCGACGCCCAGCGAGGAGCGGCUCUUUAUCUCCGUUUACCUAAACUACUAUUACCCGUCACAGACUCUUAACUGGAGCAUCAUUCCCCAGCUGCACAGGAUUGGACUCCAACCAAAUGGCUUUCAUGCAGUGUCCAGUUUUUGCCAGACACUGGGCACAGAAACCGUUGAGGAAUGUGGUCUAUAGGAAGAGACCACUGGAGAGGUAGAGGAGGAAACGCAGCUGGCUGGUGUUGAGAAUGAGCAACAUGGAAAGCAACACUCUGCUAUGUGUCCUACUCCUAGGCAGAUGAGACAUUGGGAGUGGCCAUCAUUAACAGGCAUGGCACAAUCAAAUGAGCAGUUCUUAAAGCCGGAUAGAGUGCACCAUGAUGGAGGAGUACCCCCUGGAUGGGGGUGAAGGAGUGUCUCACUACACAUACCCCUUAAAAGGUUUGUGUUUAUGUGACAUUAUUGACACGAACUGUGACCAUAUAGACCAUUGUUGCAACCAAGGUCAUAUAGUGGCACCAAAUCUUGUACAGGGGAGGUCAAGUGGGGUGUCUAUGACAAGGUUAUGGUUUGCUGGUUAUGAUUAUACUAUCUGUAUGCAUGUAUCAUUUUUGUAUUUAAAGUUAUAAGUAUUGGCUUUAUACUGUCUGUAUUUCAAACUUGUGCUAUGUUUCUGGGUGACACCGCACACAAUUUGGCAUCAGCACUGCCUAGCUUGCUUGAUGACCCAUUAAGGACCAUUAGCUAUACAACUGACCCAUUGAGAGAAGGCAGAUAUAUCUUGUGACUCAGCAAGGAAUGUAGGGACAUGCCUAUGGCCAGAACUCUAAGGUUUUUCCAUGCCAUGUACUAGAUAGCUUGUCUUUAGAACAAAGAAAACAGAGGCCACAUGGCAAGAGACUAUAAAAGACUGCUGCAUCUCCUCCAUCUUGUCUUCAAUCUUGCUUCUGACCCGUGGAGGAACUUUACUACAAACUGAAGCUCUGAAUAAAGGACUGAAUGACCCAUCCCAGCUGUGGAUGUACGCCAAGUCUCUGGAGUACAUUUGAACCUGUAGUUUAUUCCAUCACCGUUACAAGCCUGAACCAAGAACUUUGCCAUUACUGUGUGUAAUUGAUUCCAUUUAACUAAUUUUAGCUCACAUCUAUAUUUCUUUCUUUUAUGA